AUCUAUGGCCAUACCACCCUGAACAUGCCUGAUCGUGUCUGAUCUUGGAAGCUAGGCAGGUUUGGGUCUGGGUAGUACUUGGAUGGGAGAUUUCUUGGUGGAAGGGAAGUUGGAGUGUUAAGAUG
rnacentral:rRNA from 1 species